CUCUCCCUGACUCCUUUCAGGCAUCCAGGAUCAUGGCCUAUAAAUUGCUUCAAGCAGCUGUGUGCUCCACCUUGCUAAUAGAAGUAUUGGGAGCACCAUUUUUGAUGGAGGACCCAGCAAACCAGUUUUUACGCCUGAAAAGACACGUGGUACACUUGCCAGAUUUCUGGGACCCAGAUCAUCACCCAGAUGGGACAGGAACAUCAUUGGCUGACGAGGUCUGGGAAGCAUGGACUUCUUUGAAAGCAAGUGCACGCCGCAAUUUUGACACGGACACAUUGGCCUUUGAUAUAUCUACUGCCCAGUAAAUGGACUUGAGUGUUACAAAGGAAAGAACAAACAUGGUAGAAGUUAGCACAGUAGUGUGGUAGGCUUGGAGAAACAGGAAGAUCAAAUGUGGCCUUCGCUACAUUAUGUAUUAUGCCCAGCUCAUGGAGACAUUGAAAGGAGCAAUGGUGAAAACCCUUGCAGACACCUGAAUGAAACUGGAAAUUCUCUGUAAAUGCCCAUUCUUGAGAAUGGAAAUAAAGACUAAAGUAAAAGUAUUUCCCCAAAGAGGGGCUUUUCUGAGAAAUAGGAUGCAAAUUUCAACUAACGUAACAUUUAGUGCCAUUAAAACAUUCUGCUC